GCGGAGGGAGUGCGUGCAGGCGGCGCGGUGGUGGCAGGAGGUGAGGGCCUGUAAGUGAGUGUGUGUGCUGGGAUGAGAACAUGGACCCGCCCCCCAGGGCCUCAGGCCCCACAGAGAGCAGGCAGAUGGUCACAGGCCCCUUGCAGAGGUCAGCUCGUGGGUGACAUACCUCCUCUGACGACUGGAGAAAUGCCACGAACGGAUCGGAUGACACCUGUCCGUGCUAUGGGCAUGUGACCCUCUUAUCUGAGAGAACUUCUCCUCAGUCAUCCAAGGGACAGAUUUCUGCCCCUUGAUCAGGCUUCCUCUGUAGACUUUGCAGUUCCAGACCUUCUUAUUCUGGGAUCCUUGCUUCACAUCAGAUCACCAGCUUCAUAAAUAAAUUUAUAGUGGAGAGUGGCUCCUAGAUACUGCACAACAGCCUAGUCUAAUUUUGUUUUCUUCCCCCAUGCAUGAUAUACACUUUUGAUAGCCUAGUCUAAUUACUUCUAGAUUUAAUGGAAAAUGUGUAACUUUGGGUACCUUCCAUACUGAGUUUCAGAAUUAUAAAAGCAUUAACGAUGUUAACAGGUCUUGGUUACAUUAUGACAUUUACUACCUCUACAAAGAACAAUUUAAAGAGACAUAGAAAUAUUUGGAAAGUGGCUAAGUUAACACUGUCAAAAUUACUCAAUUUUGUAUAAAUUUCAAUAUCUGAUAUUUAACAUCUAAAUAAAUCAUCAAACUCUUUUUAAAAAGAGCAAUCAUUCAAGUUCUUAACUGCUUGGUAUAAUGACUCUGUUAGGCAAAGAAAAUUUCUGCUUUUGUUUCUUUGUUUUGUUUUGGUUGAGGGUGGGGAUUGUUUUUUUUUUUUUUGCUUUCUACUUAAGAUAUUUUAAGAUAUUUUUACUAUGAUAGAUGCUUUCCUUUAAUGUCAAACCAGCCCCUUAACUUUUCAAAUUAAGUCACCUAGUACGUAAAUACUAAAUACUAGACAUAAAAGAGGUUUCCUACAUGGUUGACCUUGAGAGUUGACCUCAGAUAAUGUCAUGGUCCAGAAGAGGAGAUAAUGCUGUCACAAGUCAAACAGCUAAUGAUUGAUUCACAAUACCACAGAAUUAAAAGUGAAGCCAUGAGCUAGAGCUGACAAAUAAAAAGGAAUUCAAAACUUAUUGUGUGGUAGGCACUGGGUCUGUUCAUCUUCACUAGAUGUGGACCCUUCAUUGCUCUUAGAUAAUCAAAUUCAGCAAUGGCCCUCUCAAUCUCAUUCCUUCACUCGAUCAAUCCUGAUCACAGGAGCUUGGCUUAUGGCUGUCUUUCUGAAGAGGUGGCCCCAACACCCACUGUCCCCAUGGCUUCCUCACACCUGGCGCACACUCCCUUGUUGUGUUGUUCCCUGACCAGUUGUUAAUAAGGUUCUGGAGAUUCGGGGCCAGGUUUAUGUAUGUUUGACUGCCCUGGAAGCCUGGUGCUGGCAUGUCAUAUGAAAUGCUUGUAUGUACGUUGAAUGAUUUUUUUAAAGAAACUGGAAGAAAAACUUUGCGGGGAAUGCAAGACUUGAGUUGAAAUUAAAAGAUAGAGGGAGUACAUUUUAAGUGUUCUAGAAUAAGAAAGAAUCCAUGUUCACUAAGGGAUUGGGAUCUUUGUUCCUGAUUAAAGUUGAAUAGAAAGAGUAGAUAGAGAGCUAGUAACCUAACACAGCAGUUCAGACCUGCCCUAGAGUCAUUCAAGGACUCACUCUACCUCUUACUACAAUGUUUCAGGAAGUAGGGCAAGUCACUGAAACUUUCUGUGCCCUAGCUUCCUCAUCUGCAAAACAGGGACGAUGAUAAUAGCAGUUCCUGUAUCACAAGGCAGUUCUGAAGAUUACAUUCAUUGAUGUAUAUAAAGUACACAAGUGUUUGCCACUAUUGUCAAUGAGCAUUUGAGCACAGUCUAAUUUCCACCCAACUCUGUGAUAUGUUUUAUGCUUUUCUCCCCUUUCCACCCUCUCCUCAAGCCAUCCUGUACUUCCUUCUGUUACACCUUUGCUGUUCCUCCAGGAACAUUUACCUCCCAGUUAUUUGUACGGUAGGUAACUCCUUCUCCUUAAAUAAUCCUUCCUGACGCCAGUGUCUCAAAUAGUCUGCUCCCCACAGUCACUCUCUACCUCUUAUCAUGUCUGUAUUUUUUCACAGUACUCACUGCUAUGUAAGAGCAUCUCAUUUAUUGAUUUAUUCGUUGGCUGACUGUUUAUUCUUACCAGAAUAUAAAUAGCAUGAAGGUAGACACUUUGCCUAUCACAUUAAAUGCUUGGGAUCACCUGAUUUACAAAAAUGCUCAAUAACAUUUUUUGAAUGAAUGAAUGAAUGAAUGAAUGAAUGAACCACAUUCUGUCUACAGUUCAUAACCAUUUACAGUAUCAACCAAGGAAAGUACUGGUAGCCAACAUAAAUGAAAAUCAUGGAAAGGGAAUGCAAAAUUCCUAUUAACUCCUGUUUUUAUUUCUCUACAAAAUAUGAAAAUGUGAAGAAUUAACAAAUAAGAAAUAAUAAGUGUUAGAUCAAAACAGACAACACCUAAGGUUAUGCCAAAGUGAAAUAUUCAGUUAGGAUGAAGUUUAUAAGUUUAAUUCAGCAUAACAAGGUAGAAUGAAAACUGGUGCAGUCUUUCAUGCAGGGAUAGAAACUGUCAAUACUGGAGCAAGUUUACUUGUAAAUCUUAAUUUUAGAAAACAGGAAAAGGCAGAUGAAUACUUCACAGGAUAGCCUGGUUUGGCUGUGUGUUUAUAUAUUUUUGAGUUCUGAAUUGAACUCAACAAAGAAGGUCCCUCAUUUUUCUCCAAUUAUGGAAAAUUUCAGGAUUUCCAAUCACCACAGCUUCCUGUAGCUUAAUAAAAGCAGAAUAUACUGCUUAGUAGCAGGCCACCUUUGGUCUAUUAUUGGAUUUGGUGCUCAAAGCCAAUGCUGAACAAGGCCUCGGGAGAGGUGAGGUGGCCCUGAAGCCAGGAGCUUUCGACUUCACCGUACGUCUAAGUUUAACCGGUAUCAGUUACUAUUACAGGUACCUUGCAUCAUACUAAGCGCUAAUGAGUGCACUAAAAUGCCUUUCAAAUGAAAGUGUAUUUCAGUUAGGUAACAGAUACUAUACUUUGAAAAGAUAAUAAACUAUUUAACAAUGGCUUGGAAUUAUCACCCAACUGUAGGGAGGAAACAGAAAAGCCAGGAAACAUAUAAAUAACCAUUAUUUAUUUUGUGAAGCUGCUCUAACUUCAAAGGCGUUUAAUUCCAGGGUAGAAAAACAAUGUGGAUCUGUCCAUAAUAAGGUAGCAAUCAGACAAAAAUAAUGGCAAAGUUUUCAGAUUUGCUGAGAAGCUUCAUCUCAGGUAAAUGUGAACUUCUGAAGUUCUAUUUUAUUGACUAACAGGGAAAAAAUUAGAUCUAAGGGUCUCCGAAGUUCCCAUCUGCCCCAAUAAGUUUUGCCUUUUAUUAUCUUAAAAUAAUGUUUAUCUGCCCUGUUUCAAACAUAACCUUUCGAAGUUCAUGAAAAUGAAUAUGAUUUGGUGCAGUUGACUCUGUUUUAAUUGUUUGAAACAACCAUGUGACUUUUAGUAUUUUGUUUUUAAACUUUAUGGAGAAGGUAAAAAAUAAGUGAACCAAUUAUUUAUUGGGCUCUCUCUAUGUGCCAAGAGUGGUGCUGUUUCAUCUGAUUUAAAAAAACCUCUAUGAACAUUUCCAUUUUACAGAUGAGGAGGCUGAAUUUCAGAAAAAUUAAGUUCAAAAGUCAUGGCAUUUCUGUGGCACUUAGAAUGCAUGAAUAGAACUCCUUUGAUACUAAAUUUAAGUUUCUUAUUCACACCAGUUUUCAAAUGUCUGAUAUUGGGAAUCCUAGUGUUUUGUUGCAUACAGAAGUCUAGGAGGCCAUUGUGAUGUUCAGUAACAUGUACUUUUCUCUGUUGAAAUUUACAUUUAUUGCAUUGCCACCAUUCUAAACUCCAGCUUCACUCCGACAGUGGCUGCAACUUGAAAUCUUCCCCAGUUCUGCUUCUUUCAUGUGAUGGUGACUCAGGUUGUUGAACAGAUGAAUCAUUAGAUGAGGAAGGGAAGCAAGUCCCAGUAGAAAGCAUGGGAUUGAGGUCAGCAGCUAUGUGUGGCUCUAGUUUGUGACUGAGAUUCUAAUGCAUUUCAAUUCAGUUUCAAUGGAUUUCUAUUCUACAUCUACCUUCCGAAUCAAAAAUGUCCUUUGCCAAGUAACAGUUUCAGUGUACCUGCAGUUCCUCCUGAAAAAUGGAAAUAGUAUUGAUUUGUAAAGUGUUAGGAAAUCUCAGGGCAACCUAACACCUUAGGUUAAUUAUACCAGACUGCUAAUUAUUUUUUAAAUCCAGUUACCUAACUACUAAUUCAAGUUUCUUGAAAUGGUCCCUAACUAUUGCUUCUUUUAUUAAGACUCAGUCAGUAGGCUGAAGAACAAAACUAUAGACUCCCCUUUGAAAAAUAAUGUAUAUGUAAAAAAUUAAGACUAGGAAGAGCAAAGAAGGCAAAGGGAAUGACACAAGUUAAGUAAAUAAACAUGUCAGCCGUUACAAAGUAGAUAGCCAAAAACGGCCACUAAAACCUUGAGAACAGAAUGCAAUAUAAAACAAAAGUUCUUUUCCUCUUAUAUUUAAGUAUUGAAAAUAAAGCAUUACUGACUAGAGCAAACAGGAUAAAGUUUAGCAGUAAUAAAUUGUGACCAGCUUUCCAACUCCAGGAGUUAAGCCUCAAAACUGCAUAGGGAACUUCAGUUUCUGGCCAGGAAGCGGAGACUGGAUUUAUCCUCAUGCCUUAAAUGACUAGCAAAAUAGACAAAAUACAUGCAACAAUGGUUCUCAGACACUGAACGACAGGUAGCUCAGCACAGUGAUCCUGAACGGAAACCAACGAGGUGAGCUGUGUGACUGAACCAGUUUACUGCUGAAGGUAAUUUCCAGACCAAAGCUUGGGGAUGUGUGUGACCCAAAGAGAGCCCAGAUGUCUUGCUAUGUUGUGGGGACAGAGAACAGACUUCAGGGUUGCCAAGGCACCUAGAAUUUCUGGUGCAGUGUGUACCAGAGACAGAUCUCCAGAGUUCUGGGAGGGCGUGGUCUGGGGCUGCCCUGAGAUCAUGCAUGAAAGGAAACGGCCGAAGGCCAGUGAAAGUGCUACAAGUAAAAAGUAGCCUGAACAGAGAAAGAAUAUCUGUCUGUGCUUUGAGACCCAAAUGCUAAACUGACAUGGGACCAUUCUCCAAUGAUAACGGGAGACCUUACCACUUAAUCUAGUCAUCAUGUGACUGAGAUCAAUGUCCAGCAUGUGCCCCGGAUCCGGGCACCGCAAGUCCAGACAGCUCAUAGGAUAUCUUCUGCAUGAUCCUAGACAUUUAUACAUGUGGGAAGGCUUGGCCCUUAGCAGGGGAAGAGAGAAAGGAACUCUUAUACACACACUUUGGGGCCAGACAUGGGCUCCUGGAGCACAGUGGACACCCCAUUACCUGACGCAUGGCUCAGAGCCAGGGUAAAGAAACUAAAUGGCUACAGUUGUUAUGGUUAGUUUUUCAAAGGGGAGAAUAAUUUGCUUUCUCAUAGCCUCAGCUUUCUGGCUUCUGCUGGAAGACUUAUUAUUUCUGAUCUUGGCUUUGCGUUGUCCCAUAACAACUAUUCCAAGCCCUGUUAAAAUAUCUCUGUUCAGAUUCAGAGUAUCUUCUGAAAAGAAAAUUCCCUGAGCCCAAACUUACCAAAUCAACACUUUUAAACAUAUCUAAAAUAGAGUAGAAGGAGGGUUUGAACAGCGAUGAAAUAAUUUACCGCAUUCAGCCUAUGUCAUUGUUCUUCAAAUUGAAUGCCUUUGAGUUUCAAGGAGAUUGUGGACAUGGAAGAUAAAAAUCGGGCUCACCCCAGCUGCACAGACCUUCUCUCCAUCAGAAUGUAAGCUCUGCUUUCAUUCUUUCCCAGCCAGUAUCCUUCUGUUCCCCUAUCCGCUCUGUCAGCCCCCUCUUGUCCUCCAGUUCUGCUCCUCACCCGGUCCCUCUGCAUUCUCUUUCUGUUUCUCGAGGCCCUCCCUCCUCGUUGCCACCCAGCUCUCAGCUCACACUGCCUGAAAGUGCUCCUAGAAACAACCCUCCCUGGCACACUGGGGUCUAGGGCCUGUGCACUUGAGUUCAAAUUCUGGCUUUGCCCCUAACUGGCCGUGUGAACUUUUACAGGUUUACUCAACCCCUUUGUGUCUUGUAAAAGGGAACAUUAAUAGUAUGUGCUUUAUACAGCUGCCAUGAGAAUUAGUGAAAUAAACUCCUAAAGCCCUUGGCAAAGUGCCUGGCACAUGGUGGGCUCUUAUUUUUUAAAAAGGUGAAUGACGAUUAUUAAUAAUGUCAUUGUUACAGACAUAAGUAAAAGGGAAUUCUUGUACUUAAUUUUCUUCCAGAAAGGAAAAAAAGAGCAGGAUAGCCUCCAGGCUCAUGGAUUAAAAGGGAGGAAGAGACCCCAUGGAGGUGCUAAGAUAUAAAAAUUACUGAUAACUAAAGCCCUGCUUCUUAUCUUGUCCUCCUCCUCUCCCUUCUUCAGAAACUUAUACAAAGGAAACGUUAGCAUCUUUAGGGCCUCAGGCUCAGAAUAUGGUCUCACUUCUGGAUGAGUGAUAAUAUGUUCAGAAUCACUGUUGACCAAAAUUCAGUAGAUCUUUUUAAGCCAUGUCAUAAUGCAGCAGAACAUCAGAAGCAGAAAAAAAAAUCAUGCAACUUAUUUUUUAACAAGUUGUGGAAACUGUGAACAAGCUUGUUACACUGAGGA